UAUAGCAGGGCUGCUGUGCUCUCAGGAGCACGAAGGCCUCCGUGCUACUGAGCCGUUUUCGAUGAUGAAAUUUUCGAAUCGACAAUCGGCUCCGUUAGACUUGAUCUAGCGCAUUUGAAGUUUCUAGAAAAUAAUUUUUGCGAUUUUUCGAUAUCAUUUACCUAGCAAUCGAAAAGAUUCAAAAUCAAUAAUUUUUAAUAGUUGAUAUCUGCCAUUUUCAAGUUUAACGGUGUAGAAGUAUUCAAAUCAGAUGAAAUUUUGAUAGAAAAUUCUUUAUACUAUCUACAACAAGAUCUAUAUUUUUGAUCGAAAAUUUUAGUGCUAUAUACUAUUAAUAGCACGAAGCAGUUGGUGCUGCUAAGUUUUCCGCUGUUAGAUCUAUCCUUUUGAUUAUUUUCACCCAUUAGAUCAUACUAUUCAACCAACCAACCACCCACUCAACUCUAGGGGGCACACAUCAUCCUAACCGCACAUCUCUUAAUCCAAUGGCCAAAAACUUGAUAGCACCAAUGACUUAGUGUUAUUAAUAGCAUAAUAGCCUAGUUAUAUAUAUAUAUAUAUAUAUAUAUAUAUAUAUAUAUAUAUAUAUAUAUAUAUAUAGUCCGCCUGGAAUACUAUCGAUACUACCAAACGUUUGGUGCUAUCGAGUUUUCCGCCGUUAGAUUUAAUCUUUUGACUAUUUUCAUCCAUUAGAUUAUAUUAUUAAAUCAAUAACUCACUCAAUCCUAGGGGACCCACUAACCGUACAUUUUUCAU
rnacentral:lncRNA from 1 species